GACGAACGCUGGCGGCGUGCUUAACACAUGCAAGUCGAACGAUGAAGCCGGAGCUUGCUCUGGUGAAUUAGUGGCGAACGGGUGAGUAACACGUGAGUAACCUGCCCUUGACUCUGGGAUAACUGCUAGAAAUGGUAGCUAAUACCGGAUACGACCCUCGGAGGCAUCUCCAGGGGGUGGAAAGAAUUUCUGUCAAGGAUGGACUCGCGGCCUAUCAGCUAGUUGGUGAGGUAACGGCUCACCAAGGCGACGACGGGUAGUCGGCCUGAGAGGGUGACCGGACACACUGGGACUGAGACACGGCCCAGACUCCUACGGGAGGCAGCAGUGGGGAAUAUUGCACAAUGGGCGCAAGCCUGAUGCAGCAACGCCGCGUGAGGGAUGACGGCCUUCGGGUUGUAAACCUCUUUUAGUAGGGAAGAAGCGAAAGUGACGGUACCUGCAGAAAAAGCACCGGCUAACUACGUGCCAGCAGCCGCCGCGG
rnacentral:rRNA from 1 species